CGCGGGAUGGAGCAGCCUGGUAGCUCGUCGGGCUCAUAACCCGAAGGUCGUCGGUUCAAAUCCGAUUGCCACUU
rnacentral:tRNA from 1 species